UUAUGAUUAAGAGUUUGAUCCUGGCUCAGGAUGAACGCUGGCGGCGUGCCUAACACAUGCAAGUCGAGCGCGAUUAGUUGGAAGCGGAGACUUCGGUCAAAGAGAAGACUAUGAAAGCGGCGGACGGGUGAGUAACGCGUGAGCAACCUGCCCUGUACAGGGGGAUAGCCACUGGAAACGGUGAUUAAUACCCCAUAACCCCAUUGGAUCGCAUGGUCUGAUGGGCAAAGCCUUGGCGGUACAGGAUGGGCUCGCGUCUGAUUAGCUAGUUGGUGAGGUAA
rnacentral:rRNA from 1 species